rnacentral:rRNA from 1 species
CCCUUAGAUGUCCUGGGCCGCACGCGCGUUACACUGAUGCAUUCAACGAGCUUAUAACCUUGGCCGAGAGGCCUGGGCAAUCUUGUUAACGUGCAUCGUGAUAGGGAUAGAUUAUUGAAAUUAUUAAUCUUGAACGAGGAAUUCCUAGUAAACGCAGAUCAUCAAUCUGCAUUGAUUACGUCCCUGCCCUUUGUACACACCGCCCGUCGCACCUACCGAUUGGGUGUGCUGGUGAAAUGUUCGGAUCGGCCGUUUGUCGCGGUUUCCGCGUCAUGUGGCUGAGAAGUUCAUUAAACCCUCCCACCUAGAGGAAGGAGAAGUCGUAACA